rnacentral:rRNA from 1 species
UGAUACGUAGGGGGCGAGCGUUGUCCGGAUUUAUUGGGCGUAAAGAGCUCGUAGGCGGUUUGGCAAGUCGGGUGUGAAACCUCCAGGCUUAACCUGGAGACGCCACUCGAGACUGCCAUGACUAGAGUCUGGUAGGGGACCAUGGAAUUCCUGGUGUAGCGGUGAAAUGCGCAGAUAUCAGGAGGAACACCAGUAGCGAAGGCGGUGGUCUGGGCCAGUACUGACGCUGAGGAGCGAAAGCGUGGGGAGCGAACAGGAUUAGAUACCCUGGUAGUCCACGCCGUAAACGUUGGGCACUAGGUGUGGGACCCUAUCGACGGGUUCCGUGCCGCAGCUAACGCAUUAAGUGCCCCGCCUGGGGAGUACGGCCGCAAGGCUA